ACAUGGCUGUUUUACAAGUCCAUGGGAACUUCAGUGAGUGGGUGGCUGAGUCAGGAUUUAAAAUCCAUCUUCUAAUCCCACGGGCAGACCUGCUGCCCUCUAAGCCAGGGGAGAUUAAUCAACUAAUACAUUUCAACCUCAUUUCUCUUCGCUACACUUUAGUUGGAUGGAUCUUUCUGAGUUUAUCUUCUAAAAGCAGGCUCAGUCCAGAGAAUCUGUGACCUUAUUGGACGAGAUUGGGUAAAGAUGUAGGUGCCCUGGAGGACCCAGCACAUCCAGGCCUUGGCAAAGGUGGGAUGUGUAGAAUCUUUAUGAAGCCUCCUUCUCUUCUCCCUUGGGGUAUCCAGUCCUCUCCUUUCUGGUCCCCAGAGCCCUCUUGCUGAUCCAGACGAUCCCCUAACACCAAUUUUCCUUUCUCAUCCCUCCAUACAUGCCUUCAGCACAUUCAUCCCACAUGCUGCUCCCUGAAAGUGUGCCAGUAUAAUCCAAGAUGACUCAUUGCUUAACCUACCUACUGAAAUAUGCAUAUCCUUAAGGUAGCUCAAAAACAGCAUAUUAAUGGUGGAAAUUUUAGGUGCCAAAUUAGAUCAGUCAGAGAGUUAUUUAUAGAGAAGGAACAUUUUUGCUGAUUCUCCAAAGAUGCCACACAGAUCUACAGGUUAUGGUUCCAAAACACCUAAUAAGCCAUGUGUUCAGAUUGGCAUUGGAGAAGCUCUAAAAUCUGUGUCUUCUGGCACUUUCAGAGAAGGAAAGAAAGAUUGAGAACCAGGCUCACCCCAGCUUGAAACCGAAACACCUCCUCUUUUUACCAUGAGUAAUAGAAACAGCUAGUGCUAACCAAAUAUUCCAUGUGCUUCCCAGUAUUCCCAGCCUGCCUCACAGCUAGGUGAGCCACAUGACUAGUUUUGGACACAAAUUACAGGCAUAAGUGACACGUGCCACUCCUGAGCUGAAGUGCUUAAUGAUACCUGUGCCUGCUCCAUCUCUCUCUUUCUUCUCCUGCCUUGAUGUCUUGAAGGUCAUUUGUUCUAGAAGAUGAUAUGCCUAUAACAAGGAGGAAGGUCACCCAGCCUGCACCAGAUAUUUGCACUGCCAGAGCACCUCUCAAGAAUGCAGAUUUAAAGAUGUCACUGGGGCCGGGCUCACACCUGUCAUCCCUGGACUUUGUGCAGCCAAGACGGCUGGACCACUCAAGGUCAGGAGUUUAAGACCAGCUGCCUAAUGUGGUGAAACUCCAUCUCUACUAAAAAUACAAAAAUUAGCUGGGUGCGGUGGCACGCACCUGUAAUCCCUGCUACUCGGGAGGCUGAGGCAGGAGAAUCACUUGAACCUGGGAGGCAGAUGUUGCAGUGAGCCGAGAUUGCACCAUUGCACUCCAGCCUGGGCAACAGAGUGAGACUCCGUCUCAAAAAUAAACAAAUAAAUAAUAAAGAUAUCACUGGGAAGGAAGUUCUGGUUCCUUAGCAAGGCAAACAAGAGAGAUAGAUCGUCCCCAGCACGGCACAGGCACUGCGCUGUUUGUUCUUCAUCACCUCCCUCCCACCCUUACAUUCUGACCACAGUGGCUGACCUGGGUCCCAUUUGCCAUUUACUACACAUCUCCUGUGUACUAGCUCCUGACAGUGCCUGGACAUACAAUCUUUCACCCUCCUUGCCUUCAUCUUCCAACUAAAAUGCACUGCCCCUCUCCAUGUGGCAAAUAACUUACCUAUUUUCCUUUUUUAAAAUUUUUGGGCAAAAUAAGAUUUAUUUUUAUUUAUGGUUUUUGUUCUCUCGAUUUGAUGAUCUUUUAAUUUUGAGGAAUUACAAAAUGAAGUACAAAACAAAUAAUAACAUAAAAAAUUCAUAUUUUACCUCCCACGAUUUUUUUUAGAUUUUCAUUUUAGUUUCAGGAGUACAUGUGCAGGUUUGUUACAUGGAUAAAUUAUGUGUUGCAGGGGUUUGAUGUACAGAUUAUUUCAUCACCCAGGUAAUAAGCACGGUAACCAAUAGAUAGUUUUUUGACCCUCUCCCACCCCCCAUCCUCAAGUAGGCCUCCGUGUCUUUUGUUCUCUUCUUUGUGUCUAUGUGUACUCAAUGUUUAAUUCCCACUUAUAAGUGAGAACAUGCAGUAUUUGGUUUUCUGUUCCUGUGCUAGUUUGUUUAGGAUAAUGGUCUCCAGCUCCAUCCAUGUUGCUGCAAAGGCCAGGAUCUUGUUCUUUUUUGUGGCUGUGUACCUGCCCAUUUUUCAAAGCUCAGAUAGCACCAGUUUUCAGAGCUUUGUCUUCCCUCUCCAGGGCAUGCUUGAUCAAGGAGCUUCUUAAAUAAUAAACAGCAAACACUUAACAUAGCAUUUAUUAUAUCUUAGGCACUUUUCUAAGCACCUGACAUAUUUUAUUUAACUAAUUUAAUUCUCACAACAACCCAGUACAGGUACUAUUAUUAUCCCCAUUUUACAAAUGAGGAAACUGAAGUACAGAGAUGUGAAGCCCAGGAGCUGGGACUGGAACUCCCUUCGAUGAUGCUCUUAACCACUGCCUGCUAAGAACAUCUAUCCAAUACACAUAUUAUCUGUCAUAACAAAACUGUUACCAUGUUUUUCAGAAGAGAACUAUUUCCUUCAAACAAAAUCUUCCUCUGAUACCCCACCAGUUGCACAGAAAAUAGGGGGCUAAUCAUGGUAGACAGAGAGAACACAAUUCCCCGCCACCCGCCAACCCCCAGCACCAACUACAAGAGAAUGCUAAGGAAACCCCAGGGCUCCAAAGAGGAGAGCGUGAGAAGCAAAGUCCUAAGAUAUCUUCUAUUUGCCAUU
rnacentral:lncRNA from 1 species